AAUGGAGUGCCUGAAUAAAGGAUUAUCUUGAUAGGGUAAAUAAUGUAAUUAAGAUUACCUCCAUUA
rnacentral:tRNA from 1 species